GCCGGUGUAGCUCAGUGGCAGAGCAGCGGUUUCGUAAACCGCAGGUCAAGGGUUCGACUCCCUUCGCCGGCUCCA
rnacentral:tRNA from 1 species